rnacentral:rRNA from 1 species
GACGAACGCUGGCGGCGUGCUUAACACAUGCAAGUCGAACGGAAAGGCCCUGCUUUUGUGGGGUGCUCGAGUGGCGAACGGGUGAGUAACACGUGAGUAACCUGCCCUUGACUUUGGGAUAACUUCAGGAAACUGGGGCUAAUACCGGAUAGGAGCUCCUGCUGCAUGGUGGGGGUUGGAAAGUUUCGGCGGUUGGGGAUGGACUCGCGGCUUAUCAGCUUGUGGGUGGGGUAGUGGCUUACCAAGGCUUUGACGGGUAGCCGGCCUGAGAGGGUGACCGGCCACAUUGGGACUGAGGUACGGCCCAGACUCCUACGGGAGGCAGCGGUGGGGAAUAUUGCACAAUGGGCGGAAGCCUGAUGCAGCAACGCCGCGUGCGGGAUGACGGCCUUCGGGUUGUAAACCGCUUUCGCCUGUGACGAAGCGUGAGUGACGGUAAUGGGUAAAGAAGCACCGGCUAACUACGUG